AGUGAACGCUGGCGGUAGGCCUAACACAUGCAAGUCGAACGGCAGCACAGGAGAGCUUGCUCUCUGGGUGGCGAGUGGCGGACGGGUGAGGAAUACAUCGGAAUCUACUCUGUCGUGGGGGAUAACGUAGGGAAACUUACGCUAAUACCGCAUACGACCUACGGGUGAAAGCAGGGGACCUUAGGGCCUUGCGCGAUUGAAUGAGCCGAUGUCGGAUUAGCUAGUUGGCGGGGUAAAGGCCCACCAAGGCGACGAUCCGUAGCUGGUCUGAGAGGAUGAUCAGCCACACUGGAACUGAGACACGGUCCAGACUCUUACGGGAGGCAGCAGUGGGGAAUAUUGGACAAUGGGCGCAAGCCUGAUCCAGCCAUACCGCGUGGGUGAAGAAGGCCUUCGGGUUGUAAAGCCCUUUUGUUGGGAAAGAAAUCCAGCUGGCUAAUACCCGGUUGGGAUGACGGUACCCAAAGAAUAAGCACCGGCUAACCUCGUGCCAGCCGCCGCCGUAA
rnacentral:rRNA from 1 species